GAUCAUGGCUUAGGAUGAACGCUAGCUACAGGCUUAACACAUGCAAGUCGAGGGGAAACGACAUCGAAAGCUUGCUUUUGAUGGGCGUCGACCGGCGCACGGGUGAGUAACGCGUAUCCAACCUGCCCAUCACUUGGGAAUAACCUUGCGAAAGUAAGACUAAUACCCAAUGAUAUCUCUAGAAGACAUCUGAAAGAGAUUAAAGAUUCAUCGGUGAUGGAUGGGGAUGCGU
rnacentral:rRNA from 1 species